ensembl:lncRNA
GAGUUGUAUUAAAUAAGAUUAGUCUGUUUGGCACAACGAACGUUACCUCUGUUCAGGUGUCAACAGUUAAAAGAAGAGAUUAGGUUGGACAACCUGGUCCUUAACCUUCUGGGGUUCAUAAAGCCUUUGGGACUCUGACAUAAGUGGUAGGUUCCUAGCUUCAGAAGAUACAUAUGCACCCGAAACAAAACCCAUGUCAUUUCUCUUACAGCGUAGGGACUUCAUCUUUGCAGAGGAAAAGAAAUUGAACUUGCCUCUCUCCAGGGUCCUUUAGGCUUAAUGGGCUUCAAGCAAUUGAGGAAAGGCCUCUCCCAAAGCCUCUAUAAGUCGAUGAAGGAUGCUGUGAAAAUGAUUGAUUUAGGCACCCAUUUGAGGCUUUUUUUUUGUCCCCCCUCCAAAAGCAGUUCAGCAGAUGGGCAGCAUGAAACUGUAACUCAGUCGUUUUCCUUCCUGGGAGAAGGGGAAUGGGGCCUAUGUACAAGGAGGAAGCCAGGGGUACGGUCAAAACAUGCAGGACUGGGGACUCGCCUAACACACCCGGGAGAGCAAGCCUCGAGGGGAGCAAGAUGGCAUCUCAGCAGGCCAUCUUCCCAGAGCACCCGUGCAGGCCAUAUUGAGAAUGCAGCCUAGACCAGAGUUCUUAGAAGAGAAAAACUGAUGUUAGAAGCAAGGAUGGUCUAAUCCAUCAUGAGACCGAGAGACUCCACAGCCAGCAGAGCACAA